rnacentral:rRNA from 1 species
CCUACGGGGGGCAGCAGUGGGGAAUAUUGGACAAUGGGGGGAACCCUGAUCCAGCCAUGCCGCGUGUGUGAAGAAGGCCUUAUGGUUGUAAAGCACUUUAAGCGAGGAGGAGGCUACUGAGACUAAUACUCUUGGAUAGUGGACGUUACUCGCAGAAUAAGCACCGGCUAACUCUGUGCCAGCAGCCGCGGUAAUACAGAGGGUGCGAGCGUUAAUCGGAUUUACUGGGCGUAAAGCGUGCGUAGGCGGCUUUUUAAGUCGGAUGUGAAAUCCCCGAGCUUAACUUGGGAAUUGCAUUCGAUACUGGGAAGCUAGAGUAUGGGAGAGGAUGGUAGAAUUCCAGGUGUAGCGGUGAAAUGCGUAGAGAUCUGGAGGAAUACCGAUGGCGAAGGCAGCCAUCUGGCCUAAUACUGACGCUGAGGUACGAAAGCAUGGGGAGCAAACAGGAUUAGAUACCCUGGUAGUC